rnacentral:misc_RNA from 1 species
GCAAACUUGGUCAUUUAGAGGAAGUAAAAGUCGUAACAAGGUUUCCGUAGGUGAACCUGCGGAAGGAUCAUUAUCGAUUCAACCUGAGACGGAUUCGAGCAUGCAACCGCGUGCUCUCCGUUUCUUACACACACCUGUGCACCUGUUGUAGGUCCCGCAAGGGAUCUAUGUCUUUCUCAUAUACCCCAUUGUAUGUUUAUAGAAUGUACCUUUGUUGCUUCUCGUCAGAGAACAAUAAUAAAACCUUUAUAACUUUCAGCAACGGAUCUCUUGGCUCUCGCAUCGAUGAAGAACGCAGC